GACGAACGCUGGCGGCGUGCUUAACACAUGCAAGUCGAACGGAAAGGCCCUGCUUUUGUGGGGUGCUCGAGUGGCGAACGGGUGAGUAACACGUGAGUAACCUGCCCUUGACUUUGGGAUAACUUCAGGAAACUGGGGCUAAUACCGGAUAGGAGCUCCUGCUGCAUGGUGGGGGUUGGAAAUUUUCGGCGGUUGGGGAUGGACUCGCGGCUUAUCAGCUUGUUGGUGGGGUAGUGGCUUACCAAGGCUUUGACGGGUAGCCGGCCUGAGAGGGGGACCGGCCACAUGGGGACUGAGAUAGGGCCCAGAGUGCAACGGGAGGCAACAGUGGGGAAUAUUGCACAGUGGGAGGAAGCCUGAUGAAGCAACGCCGCGUGCGGGAUGACGGUCUUCGGGUUGAAAACCGCUGUAGCCUGUGACGAAGCGUGAGUGACGGUAAUGGGUGAAGAAGCACCGGCUAACUACGUG
rnacentral:rRNA from 1 species